AAAUUGAAGAGUUUGAUCAUGGCUCAGAUUGAACGCUGGCGGCAGGCCUAACACAUGCAAGUCGAACGGUAACAGAAAGCAGCUUGCUGCUUUGCUGACGAGUGGCGGACGGGUGAGUAAUGUCUGGGAAACUGCCUGAUGG
rnacentral:rRNA from 2 species